UGAUUCCGAAACCGAAUUGUUCACACCAAUUUCCUAGUUCUCUUCUAGAUUGUCUAUUUUCUAUUUUUAAUUUCUGUUGUAAUUUCAUAUCCCUACAUAAUCUUAUUCCUGUUAAAUUGACACAUGUUAUUAAGUCUCCAUAUGUUAAAUCAUCGUAUGAUAUAUGGCCAAAUUUUUGUUCAAUUGUCUCUUUUACUUUGGUUGCAAAUAAUCUUGAUAGUCCUGUUAAGAACUUUUCUUUCCAAUGAUAUGCAUUAGGAUCUGCU
rnacentral:lncRNA from 1 species